UGACUGGCCCUUUCAAACGCGAAGGAGAAAUUAUGGUGGCCGAGAAAAACGCGGGCCACUUUGGAAAAAUGGCGGUUCAACAUGGCGGACUCCCUGCGACCUGUGGCGUCUGCAGAUAAAAGAAGGCUCAUUUUAAGGUGCAGUAUCAGAAGGAAGGUGAUGCAGAGACAGACAAAGCCAAGCAGGAAGAGAAGGUGGAACAGGACAAGAAAGGGGGGAGAGAUAGAGGGAGAAAGACAUGCAGCAAAGGGCCGCAGGUUGGAAUCGAACCCAGGCCGC